rnacentral:lncRNA from 1 species
UAACCACAAGACAACUAUGAUGCCUCAGGUCAAAGGACUACUUUGCAUUAUCCCAACCACGAGUUUUCAUGUGACAUGAGUAUGAGAACUCUUCGUUGAUCGUGUUCAGUGAACUCAUUCUCUAUUGAGCACCUACGUACUUGUCUUGAUGUCACACACACCAAUGACUCGAGACUAGUCACUCUCCCUGAGAAAAGACACAGCACGUACUGAUCUUAACGGACUGUCAAUGCCCAAUUGGCAAUCCUAUGAUCAGGAACGUUUAGGAUGUGUCUACGAAAGAAUGGUCUCAUGAAUCUAACUUCUUUAGAUCGCAUUCUCCCAAUCACAUAUUCCUUGGACUUAUCGUUUAAGCGUAUAACAUUUAUAUGAGACGGCUCAAACAAUAAUUUUUGCCCUUGAUAUUAAACUAGAUUAGUUUAACAUGUGAAAUAUCCGUAAAGUAUCAUCAUAUGAUUGGUUUUUGGGGCACAUUUCCAACACCAAAACCUUGGCCCUUAUCAAGGUCGUGCUCUGGUUCGCAAUGCUAAGCUCGAAAUCCACCUAAUCUUCCCAGCCAGUGGACUCACCACGGGAGAACUCGAAGUGGAUUGGUACGGCAUAACCAAUUUUUAAUGCAGCACCAUGAAAUACGUUUGGGAUCAAUAGGAUGGAUCAAAUCUAAGGAAGGGUCUUCCCCCUUAAAAGCCUUGUUUUGAGAACC